rnacentral:rRNA from 1 species
GUGAGGAAUAUUGCGCAAUGGAGGCAACUCUGACGCAGCCAUGCCGCGUGCAGGAAGAAGGCGCUACGCGUUGUAAACUGCUUUUAACCGGGAAGAAACCCCAGGACGUGUCCUGGGUUGACGGUACCGGAGGAAUAAGCACCGGCUAACUUCGUGCCAGCAGCCGCGGUAAUACGAAGGGUGCAAGCGUUAUCCGGAUUCAUUGGGUUUAAAGGGUGCGUAGACGGAGCGUUAAGUCAGUGGUGAAAUCCUGCAGCUUAACUGUAGACUUGCCAUUGAUACUGGCGCUCUUGAGUGCGCUUGAAGUGGGCGGAAUGUGCCGUGUAGCGGUGAAAUGCUUAGAUAUGGCACAGAACACCAAUUGCGAAGGCAGCUCACUAAGGCGAUACUGACGCUGAGGCACGAAAGCGUGGGGAUCGAACAGGAUUAGAAACCCUGGUAGUCC